rnacentral:lncRNA from 1 species
AAAAAGAAAUUAGAAUUAAAAGUAAUAUAAAAAGAAGGAAAUUAUUAAAAAAGAGCGACCUGCUUUUGACGUGUGGUGGCUCUCGCCCUCUAUAAACCCAAGGGGCUCCGUAUUUGCACGGAGAGAGAGAGAGAGAGAGAGAGAGAGAGGGGAAGAGGGAGUUGUGAUACGAUACGGUAGGAGAUACGGUGCUUUUGGCGUUAACGCAGCGGGGAUGAUGAUAGCCUGUUUGGAGCAGGAGCGGCGGCAGCGGCUGCCGGGCGAGUCCGACGCCGAGC